AAACUCGUUGUUUUUGGCAGAUGCAUUCUCUUGCUGGUUACAGUCCUGAGCAUAUCCUUUCGGUACUACACCAGUUUGUGCAUGUUAACCACUGCGUUCCGAAAUGUCGUAUGCUUGUAUUCCCAGUUUUAGUUGACAACAUAUGGUGUGCUUACAUGUUAGACAUGCACGCUAGCCAGCUGCAUGUUCUAGAUCCAUGUCACUAUUCUCAACGGUUAUUAAUCCACAAUGGACAGCCAGUUCACUGUCAGCAUGGAUUAAUCCUGCGUCGCUCCUCCUCCUUUCGUACCUAGACUAGAUAUAGAGGUUGAUAAAAUAGGAGGAGAUGACAUUCAAAUCCUUGGGAUGCUGCCUUCUCUUCGCCAUCUCUAGCUAGGGGUGAGCGACCACAUACAAGACCUACCAGUGGAGGAAAGGUUCAUGGUUAGCGCCGAAGCAUUUCCGUGUGCGAGGGUGUGCAAAUUCUUCAACUUUGUGACGGUGCCAUCUAUAUUCCCACGAGGAGCUAUGCCCAAGGUCCAACACCUCGAGUUCUGCAUCCGAUCGCGCCAUUUCUUCACCGAUGGUGAUCUUGAGUUGAAUGACUUGGACAUGGGGCACAUUCCUUCACUGGAGCGUGUUGUUGUUCACCUACAUAGUGAGCGGACGGACAACAACAAAGAAGUGAUGGAAGUGGAGAAGGGACUGAGGCACGCGUCAUCUGUACACCCCAACUCUCCCUUCAUUGAUGUCAGGCACCAUUAGUUGUCUGACUCUGACAAGAUCCAGUGGAAGAGGGAAUUAAACUUGGUGUACAUGUCGCUGUCUCAAUAGCUAGAUGGCAAGCAGAGGUUAUGAUCAGCUGGAAGACGAUCGACCAAUUUGUGCAGUGUAGAUCGAUGCACAAGCCAAUGUUUUGCUUCUGUUCUUAUAAUCAUUGGAUAAAGCUUUGAUCAGGUCACUGCCUGAAUGUUUGUGCUGUUUCUUAUUUGCUGUAAUGACGAAAAAGCUUAUUUACGGUAUUUGGUAGGUUACCAUCUUGUUACCCUGCA